rnacentral:rRNA from 1 species
AGGGAAUCUUCGGCAAUGGACGAAAGUCUGACCGAGCAACGCCGCGUGAGUGAAGAAGGUUUUCGGAUCGUAAAACUCUGUUGGUAGAGAAGAACGUUGGUGAGAGUGGAAAGCUCAUCAAGUGACGGUAACUACCCAGAAAGGGACGGCUAACUACGUGCCAGCAGCCGCGGUAAUACGUAGGUCCCGAGCGUUGUCCGGAUUUAUUGGGCGUAAAGCGAGCGCAGGUGGUUUAUUAAGUCCGGUGUAAAAGGCAGUGGCUCAACCAUUGUAUGCAUUGGAAACUGGUAGACUUGAGUGCAGGAGAGGAGAGUGGAAUUCCAUGUGUAGCGGCGAAAUGCGUAGAUAUAUGGAGGAACACCGGUGGCGAAAGCGGCUCUCUGGCCUGUAACUGACACUGAGGCUCGAAAGCGUGGGGAGCAAAC